UACGUAGGGUGCGAGCGUUGUCCGGAAUUAUUGGGCGGAAAGAGCUUGUAGGCGGUUUGUCGCGUCUGCUGUGAAAAUCCGGGGCUCAACCCCGGACUUGCAGUGGGUACGGGCAGACUAGAGUGUGGUAGGGGAGACUGGAAUUCCUGGUGUAGCGGUGAAAUGCGCAGAUAUCAGGAGGAACACCGAUGGCGAAGGCAGGUCUCUGGGCCACUACUGACGCUGAGAAGCGAAAGCAUGGGGAGCGAACAGG
rnacentral:rRNA from 1 species